rnacentral:lncRNA from 1 species
UAUUCCAGGGUCUGCAGUUUCUCAGAACCAGUGGAAUUGAGUAAGAAAAAUGUGGACAUUGUAGCAGUGGGGCCCAGAGAUGAGGACACCAAUUUGAAACCUCUGGGGCAUAUCAUGAACUGAUGAUAUACUUGGAUUCACAUCUGCAGGAUGGAUAUAUGUUUUCCUAUUUUCCUACAUGAAGGACUUAAAAUCCUCAGUCUAUCUGCCAUAUCUUUCAGGCUGUAUUAACAUAGCCUAACUCUCUGAAUAGGUAACAAAAUUUACUGUAAAUUAUAUGUGUGGUGUAAAACACACUUUAAAAUUGCAAAAUAUAUAGUAUUCAAAUGUCACAAAAUUUGCACAUGGAAAGUAACAUCUUGGCUAGUCGUCAUAAAACAGUACAUGAAUCACUCUCUACCUAAUUCUACAGUGCAUCACUGUCUCUCACAAGCAAUGCCUCAUAGCCAUUAGCAGUUUAGAUUUCUAGAACAUAGGUUGCUAAUCAGCAUCCCUUUGAGGGAUGCUUUUCUUUGAGGGCUAAAACUCUUCUCUAAAGUCCACAGUGAAUUAUUCCUAAAUUACAGCACUUGUGUACAUGGGGGUUACAAAGAGUGCUCAGUGGUUAAAAGAAAUCCCUAUUCCAAAUGAUCCAAGCUCUGAUCACAACACUCAUGUCCAAUGGAUCAUAGCUGCCUGUAAUGGGAUCUGUAGGAGAUCUAACCCCUCUUCUGGCCUCUGUAGACACUUGCCCAUGAAAAGC